rnacentral:sRNA from 1 species
ACCUUACACACAGUGUUUUUUGUUAUUACAAGAACUUUUGCUUUGGUCUGGACUAGAAAUAGUUUGGGCCAGAGGUUUACUGAACUAAACUUCAAUAUUUAUAUUGAAUUGUUAUUUAUUUAAUUGUCAAUUUGUUGAUUAAAUUCAAAAAAUCUUCAAAACUUUCAACAACGGAUCUCUUGGUUCUCGCAUCGAUGAAGAACGCAGCGAAAUGCGAUAAGUAAUAUGAAUUGCAGAUUUUCGUGAAUCAUCGAAUCUUUGAACGCACAUUGCGCCCUCUGGUAUUCCAGAGGGCAUGCCUGUUUGAGCGUCAUUUCUCUCUCAAACCUUCGGGUUUGGUAUUGAGUGAUACUCUUAGUUGAACUAGGCGUUUGCUUGAAAUGUAUUGGCAUGAGUGGUACUGGAUAGUGCUAUAUGACUUUCAAUGUAUUAGGUUUAUCCAACUCGUUGAAUAGUUUAAUGGUAUAUUUCUCGGUAUUCUAGGCUCGGCCUUACAAUAUAACAAACAAGUUUGACCUCAAAUCAGGUAGGAUUACCCGCUGAACUUAAGCAUAUCAAUAAGCGGAGGAAAAGAAACCAACAGGGAUUGCCUUAGUAACGGCGAGUGAAGCGGCAAAAGCUCAAAUUUGAAAUCUGGCACCUUCGGUGUCCGAGUUGUAAUUUGAAGAAGGUAACUUUGGAGUUGGCUCUUGUCUAUGUUCCUUGGAACAGGACGUCACANAGGGUGAGAAUCCCGUGCGAUGAGAUGCCCAAUUCUAUGUAAAGUGCUUUCGAAGAGUCGAGUUGUUUGGGAAUGCAGCUCUAAGUGGGUGGUAAAUUCCAUCUAAAGCUAAAUAUUGGC